rnacentral:tRNA from 1 species
GGGCGGUUAGCUCAGCGGGAGAGCAUCGGCCUUACAAGCCGGGGGUCGCCGGUUCGAUCCCGGCACCGCCCA